UGGAUCCUGAUGGUUGGAAGGCGCGCGGCAUAAUCUAAUUAUCCACUGGCUGUGAAUAGAAAGGGCACGUGCCGGUUUAAGAUGAGAGAAAUCAUUAAUGAAAGGCACAUAUGGGGGAUGCUUCCUUAGGCUAUGUCUUUGGCUUGGUGGUUUGGAUCUGGUUCGGAGAGAGGUUACAAGGAAGGCGACUCAGGGAUAGAGUGUUGGCGUUGAUAUUUGUGUCUGUUAGAUGAGAUUGAAAUGCCAUGACUUCUGCUCUCUUUUUCUCUCAAGUCAAUGGCUUUGAGUCCUGUUUCCACUGGGAGACGUGUCGCCUGAUUUCAUGGAUGUAGAGUUAUGUAUCUUUAGAUGGUUUGGCGUUGGGAGAUGUCUAUCCUUUCGCAGUUGUUCUUCUAUUUCAUGUCUUUGGAUUGGAUUACUUCUGCUUGAUGCCCGAUAAUGGUGCUAAGUUUGGUAGCUUCCUGGCUGUGUGCUCAGGAAUGUAUAUGCAUUAG
rnacentral:misc_RNA from 1 species